rnacentral:rRNA from 1 species
GGCGGCGUGCUUAACACAUGCAAGUCAAGGGGGCCCAGCAAUGGGCAACCGGCGAACGGGUGCGUAACACGUGAGCAGCCUACCGAACUGUGGGGGAUAGCCGGCCUAACGGCCGAGUAAUACCGCAUACGCUUUCAUUGAGGCAUUUCAGUGAAAGGAAACCUACGGGACAGAUCGAGGGGCUCGCGGCCUAUCAGCUAGUUGGCGAGGUAACGGCUCACCAAGGCAACGACGGGUAGCUGGUCUGAGAGGAUGGCCAGCCACAUUGGGACUGAGAUACGGCCCAGACUCCUACGGGAGGCAGCAGUGGGGAAUCUUGCGCAAUGGCCUAACGGCUGACGCAGCGACGCCGCGUGUGGGAUGAAGCUCUUCGGAGUGUAAACCACUGUUGCCCGGGACGAACAGCUCGAUUUCUCGAGCCUGACGGUACCGGGUGAGGAAGCACCGGCUAACUCCGUGCCAGCAGCCGCGGUAAUACGGGGGGUGCGAGCGUUGUCCGGAAUCACUGGGCGUAAAGGGCGCGUAGGUGGUUUGAUAAGGGUGUGGUGAAA